UGGGGAAUUUUGGACAAUGGGCGAAAGCCUGAUCCAGCAAUGCCGCGUGCAGGAUGAAGGCCUUCGGGUUGUAAACUGCUUUUGUACGGAACGAAAAAGCUUCUCCUAAUACGAGAGGCCCAUGACGGUACCGUAAGAAUAAGCACCGGCUAACUACGUGCCAGCAGCCGCGGUAAUACGUAGGGUGCGAGCGUUAAUCGGAAUUACUGGGCGUAAAGCGUGCGCAGGCGUUUAUGUAAGACAGAUGUGAAAUCCCCGGGCUCAACCUGGGAACUGCAUUUGUGACUGCAUGGCUAGAGUACGGUAGAGGGGGAUGGAAUUCCGCGUGUAGCAGUGAAAUGCGUAGAUAUGCGGAGGAACACCGAUGGCGAAGGCAAUCCCCUGGACCUGUACUGACGCUCAUGCACGAAAGCGUGGGGAGCAAACA
rnacentral:rRNA from 1 species